AGGCAGCCAGUUUGAGCCUUAGGGAGCAGCAUGAGGAUCUCUCCCACUAUGUCCUGGACUCCCCUCCUCUUCAGCUUCCUCUUUCACUGUACAGGUUCUGUAGCCUCUUAUGUGCUGACUCAGCCAUCCUCAGCGUCAGUGACACUGGGACAGAUGGCCAGGAUCGCCUGUGGGGGAAACGGCAUUGCAAACAAAUAUGUGCAGUGGUACCAGCAGAAGCCAGGACAGGCCCCAGUGCUGGUCAUCUAUGGUGAUAGUAGCCAGCCCUCAGGCAUCCCUGACAGGUUCUCUGGCUCCAACUCAGGGAACACAGCCACACUGACCAUCAGCAGUACCCAGGCUGAGGAUGAGGCUGAUUAUUACUGCCAGGUGUGGGACAGCAGCAGUGAUGCUCACAGUGACACAGACACAUGGGGAAGUGAGAUAAAACCUGCCACCAGCCUGGCUCCCACAGCCCCUCCUUAG